AGGUGUGAUCAUACCAGCGUUAAUGCACGGAUUCCAUCAUAAUUAAGUAGUUAAGCACACUUGGGCUAGAGUAGUACUGGGAUGGGUGACCUUCCAGGAAGUCCUAGUGUUGCACCCU
rnacentral:rRNA from 1 species